rnacentral:sRNA from 2 species
UGUUUGCACUUAGCGGGAAGGGUAAGAACCUUCGACUAAGGUUCGACUCGAGCGCCAGCGAGAGAACGUUGCCGCAGGCAAUGGCCCGAAGGCGAGGCGCUUUAGCGCCGAGUAAUCCUUCCCCCACCACUG